GCGCCCGUAGCUCAGCGGAUAGAGUGCCUGCCUCCGAAGCAGGAAGCCGCAAGUUCAAGUCUUGCCGGGCGCA
rnacentral:tRNA from 1 species